rnacentral:tRNA from 1 species
GGCAACGUAGCUCAGCGGUAGAGCAGCAGACCAAGAAUCUGCCGGGCGGGGGUUCGACUCCCCCCUUUGCGCA